rnacentral:rRNA from 1 species
AGAGUUUGAUCAUGGCUCAGAGCGAACGCUGGCGGCAGGCCUAAUACAUGCAAGUCGAGCGCCGUAGCAAUACGGAGCGGCAGACGGGAGAGUAACACGUGGGAACGUACCCUUCAGUUCGGAACAACCCAGGGAAACUUGGGCUAAUACCGGAUACGUCCGUAAGGAGAAAGAUUUAUCGCUGAAGGAUCGGCCCGCGUCUGAUUAGCUUGUUGGUGAGGUAACGGCUCACCAAGGCGACGAUCAGUAGCUGGUCUGAGAGGAUGAUCAGCCUCACUGGGACUGAGACACGGCCCAGACUCCUACGGGAGGCAGCAGUAGGGAAUAUUGGACAAUGGGCGCAAGCCUGAUCCAGCCAUGCCGCGUGGGUGAUGAAGGCCCUAGGGUUGUAAAGCCCUUUCGGCGGGGAAGAUAAUGACGGUACCCGCAGAAGAAGCCCCGGCUAACUUCGUGCCAGCAGCCGCGGUAAUACGAAGGGGGCUAGCGUUGCUCGGAAUCACUGGGCGUAAAGCGCACGUAGGCGGCUUUUUAAGUCAGGGGUGAAAUCCUGGAGCUCAACUCCAGAACUGCCCUUGAUACUGAGAGGCUCGAGUCCGGGAGAGGUGAGUGCAACUGCGAGUGUAGAGGUG